rnacentral:rRNA from 1 species
AUGCGAUACUUGGUGUGAAUUGUAGAAUAUCGUGAACCAUUGAGUCUCUAGUCGCAAGUGGUGCCUGAGGCCUGGCGGCCGAGGUCACGCGUGGUUGGGUGUUAGUG